rfam:Daphnia pulex DAPPTscaffold_189_Cont6808, whole genome shotgun sequence.
UAUAGUGUAGCCGAGUGGCCUAUGGCGAUGGUUUUAGGCACCAGUCUAUUCUGAUGCAAGGGUUGAAUCCCUUCGCUGUCA